CAGGCAGCCAUAAAGGCUAUCUGCUCUCUCCAGAUAUGGCCAGACAAACAUGGUCACUGAUUGCUGACCUACCAGAGAUGUUUGUUAACAAGGAUGGAUUCUACAAAUGUCUGCCUAUAAAUAUUGGGCUUUUAGGCUAACCAACUGAUUUGUGCCGUUUAAGUAUGUGGUUGGAUUUGUCAGAGCAGCUGGCUGAGAUUAAAAAUGAGGAGCCGAGGGGGCUGUCACCACUUUCUCCCCUGUCCUCUCUUGCUGGGCUGGUUCUUCUGGGAAAAGCCUUCAUCCUCGCUCCACAUGUUGUCAUGGAAAUGCGCUGGGUGGCAGUGGGUGCAGAGUUACAGUGAAGUAACAGCCAGGGAAAAAGGGAGGUCAAUUAGUCCACUUC